rnacentral:rRNA from 1 species
GAUGAACGCUGGCGGCGUGCUUAACACAUGCAAGUCGAACGGAAAGGCCCAAGCUUGCUUGGGUACUCGAGUUGCGAACGGGUGAGUAACACGUGGGUGAUCUGCCAUGCACUUCGGGAUAAGCCUGUGAAACUGGGUCUAAUACCGGAUAGGACCACUUCUUGGUUGUUGUGGUGGCAAUGUUUCUCGGUGUUGGAUGAGCUCGCGGCCUAUCAGCUUGUUGGUGGGGUAAUGUCCUACCAACGCGUCGACGGGUAUCCGGCCUGAGAGGGUGUACGGCCACAUUGCGACUUGGAUACGGCCCAGACUCCUACGGGGGGCAGCAGUGGGGAAUAUUGAACAAUGGGCGCAAGCCUGAUGCCGCGACGCCGCGUGGGGGAUGACGGCCUUCGGGUUGUAAACUCCUUUCGCUAGGGACGAGGCGUUUUUGUGACGGUACCUGGAGAAGAAGCACCGGCUAACUACGUG